rnacentral:rRNA from 1 species
UACGGGGGGAGCAAGCGUUGUUCGGAUUUACUGGGCGUAAAGGGCGCGUAGGCGGCGCAACAAGUCACUUGUGAAAUCUCCGGGCUUAACCCGGAGCGGUCAAGUGAUACUGUCGUGCUAGAGUGCGGAAGGGGCCACUGGAAUUCUCGGUGUAGCGGUGAAAAUGCGUAGAUAUGCGGAGGAACACCGAUGGCGAAGGCAAUCCCCUGGGCCUGCACUGACGCUCAUGCACGAAAGCGUGGGGAGCAAACAG